UACGGGGGGGGCAAGCGUUGUUCGGAAUUACUGGGCGUAAAGGGCUCGUAGGCGGCCAACUAAGUCAGACGUGAAAUCCCUCGGCUUAACCGGGGAACUGCGUCUGAUACUGGAUGGCUUGAAUCCGGGAGAGGGAUGCGGAAUUCCAGGUGUAGCGGUGAAAUGCGUAGAUAUCGGGAGGAACACCAGUGGCGAAGGCGGUUGCCUGGAGCUUUGCUGACGCUGAGACGCGAAAGCGUAGGGAGCAAACAGG
rnacentral:rRNA from 1 species